rnacentral:rRNA from 1 species
GAUAAACGCUGGCGGCGUGCUUAACACAUGCAAGUCGAACGAAGUUUUUCUUUCGGGAGGAACUUAGUGGCGGACGGGUGAGUAACGCGUGGGUAACCUGCCCUGUACAGGGGGACAACAGCUGGAAACGGCUGCUAAUACCGCAUAAGCCCUUAGCACUGCAUGGUGCAUAGGGAAAAGGAGCAAUCCGGUACAGGAUGGACCCGCGUCUGAUUAGCCAGUUGGCAGGGUAACGGCCUACCAAAGCGAUGAUCAGUAGCCGAUCUGAGAGGAUGUACGGCCACAUUGGGACUGAGACACGGCCCAGACUCCUACGGGAGGCAGCAGUGGGGAAUAUUGCACAAUGGAGGAAACUCUGAUGCAGCGACGCCGCGUGAGUGAAGAAGUAUUUCGGUAUGUAAAGCUCUAUCAGCAGGGAAGAAAAUGACGGUACCUGACUAAGAAGCACCGGCUAAAUACGU